rnacentral:rRNA from 1 species
UACGUAGGGAGCAAGCGUUGUCCGGAAUCAUUGGGCGUAAAGCGCGCGUAGGCGGCCUCAUAAGUCCGUUGUGAAAGUCAAAGGCUCAACCUUUGAAAGCCGAUGGAUACUGUGAGGCUAGAGUCCGGAAGAGGCGAGUGGAAUUCCCGGUGUAGCGGUGAAAUGCGCAGAUAUCGGGAGGAACACCAAUGGCGAAGGCAGCUUGCUGGGACGGUACUGACGCUGAGGCGCGAAAGCGUGGGGAGCAAACAGG